GACGAACGCUGGCGGCGUGCCUAACACAUGCAAGUCGAACGGAAAGGCCCUGCUUUUGUGGUGUGCUUGAGUGGCGAACGGGUGAGUAACACGUGAGUAACCUGCCCUUGACUUUGGGAUAACUUUUGGAAACUGGGGCUAAUACCGGAUAGGAGUUCCUGCUGCAUGGUGUGGGUUGGAAAGUUUCGGUGGUUGGGGAUGGACGGGCGGCUUAUUAGCUUGUUGGUGAGGUAGUGGCUUACCAAGGCUUUGACGGGUAGCCGGCCUGGGAGUGUGACCGGCCACAUAGGGACAGAGAUAGGACCCAGACGCCAACGGGGGGAAGCGGUGGAGAAUAUAGCACAAUGGGCGGAAGCCUGAUGCAGCAACGCCGCGUGCGGAAGGACGGCCGUCGGGGUAGAAACCGCUUUCGCCUGUAACGAAGCGAGAGUGACGGUAAUGUAUAAAAAAGCACCGGCUAACUACGUG
rnacentral:rRNA from 1 species